rnacentral:rRNA from 1 species
UACGUAGGUGGCAAGCGUUGUCCGGAUUUACUGGGCGUAAAGAGCGCGCAGGCGGUCGUUCAAGUCGCGUGUGAAAGCCCCCGGCUCAACUGGGGAGGGUCACGCGAUACUGAUCGACUCGAAGGCAGGAGAGGGUAGUGGAAUUCCCGGUGUAGUGGUGAAAUGCGUAGAUAUUGGGAGGAACACCGGUGGCGAAGGCGGCUUUCUGGACAAUCACUGACGCUGAGGCGCGAAAGCCAGGGGAGCAAACGGG